AUGUAUAGCAGCAGGGGCUAUGGGUGUAACAAUGGUAUUGAUGUCCUUAUCAGACUCAUGCCGCAGGGCAUCCAGAUGGAGGAGAUGCCGACGAAUAAGAAGAAGAAGAGACCGGCGGUUGUCGUCUCUUCUUGCGAGAGCGACGAGGCGGCGAUGGCUCGGUUUGGUCGGGAGCGUCCCAAGUACGUUCAGGCCGAGCAGGAGUUCUACUGGAAACGUGAUGUCGAGAAGAAGAAGAAGAAGGAGGUGAAGAAGGAGGACGAGGCCGCCCCCUCGACGACGAUCCCAGCGAGUCAUCGUCGGAGGAGGACGAGAAGUUCUGGGGGCUCUCGGAUGACUCCAAAGAGUUGUAGAUGCCCUCGGACAACGAGUAGUUUUGCUAGUUUAAAUUUAUGCAUUUACAUUUGA
rnacentral:rRNA from 1 species